UCUUGAGUAUAACCCAGAACCAGCCAGACGCCGGGAGCUAGAGCGCGAGGCUGGGGCGGACAACUAAGUGAAGGCAGCCGGAGAAGGAGCCAAACUGACAGCUUCCCCGAGCUUUUGAGGCGGUGGUGGAGCCAGGAUAGGCGACCGCCACAACUAGAGGCUAUGAUCUGAGCCCACCGGGAUCGCCGGGCUCUCUAGGGUGGAAGGAUGCUCCAGGUCCGCUGGCGGAGCCUCCCUUCUCACAGCAGAGGGAAAGGCGGGCGCGCAGGCGCGCCAACACACACACACGCGCAAACACACACACACACACACGUACACACACAUCCUUCCCUUAGAGUUGUGUCUCGUCUCCCUUUUGUUUUUCUCCCUUCCCGGUCAUGAGACCCGGAAGUUUUUUUUUUUUUAAUCCUGUCUCUCUCCCAUUUCCAACCCCCCCCCCCCCACCAUCUAUCACAUGGCAGAGAUAGAAUAAAAACAGAAAAAUGGCGACGGUCACGUUGUGGCGAGCCUUGCUGCGUCAUUAGAUAAUCCUCAUGCAAAUAGCGGGAAGAACAAAGGAAGGGGGGGCCCGGGACCCCCCAGGGGCGCAGGGUGCUGGCGUGGGUUCCUCGCCGUCCGGCGGCGACUGUAAAUAGAGCCUGGAUGUUGUUUACAUGAAGGAUCCGGCGGGAGGAGUCUGCGAGGAGGAGGCGGAGGAGGAGGAGGGAGGGAGGAGAGAGGAAGACCGGAGUCCCCGCGGCGGCGGCGGUCCGGGGUGAGGGCGAGCCCGGCGCGGCGAGUGUGCCUAGGGGACCAAGCGCUACCAUGAGGCCGGGACGCUGGACCCUGGGGUCGGUUUUCAAGAAGGGGGAGGAGACUUGGAGGAUACCCCAGCUCCUGGCCGUAGCUGACCCCACUGCCUUCCCUGCGGAAUCCUUUCCCUCACUCCGCAGCCCGCACGCCAGCUGCCACCUUACUGGAGAAUAACCACACCUGUGCUUCUAUCCGCUUUGGAGACGAGGUGAGCAGAGAAACCAGGGAAUCCCCUGUAGCUCCAGGUCUCUUAGCUAGAACCCCAACACCCGAGAAUUGGCAGAAAGCGCUCCCUUCACCUGCUGAUUGCGUUCAGCACAUCUGUCUUCAACCUCCUGACAAGUUGUGGUCCACAGUUGUGUCGGGAUUUUUCUCUUCCUUCACCCCUGUACCCUACCACUGGCAACCAACGGCUGGGCUUAGGUUGUGAAAAGGAGAGGUGGCCCCCUUCGGCCCAGUGUGCUGUGCUGUGUUUUAUUCCCCAGUGGGUCUUCCAAUCGAAAUCUGCUCACAUCUUGCAGUCCCCUCUACCCUUCUCCUAAACUUAGCUCAGAAGCAGGCCUAAGCAGCCUGUCUUCUGGCUUUUUUUUCCCCUGGGCGGCACCCUGGCCCCUUUUGGUUUUCCAGAGCCAAACACGCCUCCCAAGCAGACGGCACACCCAGCCCCAAGUCUAACCAUUCCAAAGGGAGGAGGAAACAAGGGAAGAGAAGGGACUCAAGGGUUUCUGUCUGGAAUAUCAUAACAGUAUUUCCCUCUUCAAGCCUCCUAGAUAUAUAAUCCCUGUGUUAUUCUUACCAGCGUGUUAUUCUGUUAUAACUGUGUUAUUCUUCUACCCUUCUUGCCCCUGGCCCUUCAUAGAUUAUUGGGGGAAGAAGAUGGGUAGAGAAAGAGAUGGUCACCCUUAUUCUCUAGAAGGAGACAUUUUUCUCCUUUCAUUUGUGACAUAUUCAGCAUGUAAAAUAAGUAAAUGUUUGCACGCUUAUUUGAACUUGUUUUCUUCUUGGCUAAUGAAUAGCUGGAACUCCACAGGGAAGGAGGGGAGAAAGAUGCCCCAGAGUGUCCCCUGCAUUGCCAGGGAAGACCCUUCUGUAACAGCUAACAGUCUCCCUUCCAUGACAUCACCACCUAAGCCCUUCCAACUUUAGCUUCAGAACAGGAAGAAGGCCCAAAAUAGAACUACCUUAGGAAUCCAGCUCCUUUAAAAGAUCAACUUUUAAAUCAGCUGCAGGAGGAACAUAGUGAACUUUGACAGGGGGAGUGAGAAGGUAGAGAAAGCUGUGAUGUUUGUAAUUGGUUCCUUUGGGAAAGAGAGGGAAGAUACUUUCCAGGUAUUUCAGAAAAGCUUUUCUCAAGAUAGAUUCAGGUACCCAGAACAAUGAAUGAUUAAUAGUUUGGUUUGAGAUUUAUUUAUUGAAUUAUUCAUAUGUUUCAGUAUGUCAACAAGAACAAGCACUUUUCAGAAUUAGUUAAAGAGGGCCUCCUGGAAUGUGCUCUACUGUGUGUUUAGAUACAAAGGUGGUUGGGGAAGUUAGGAGGGGGCACUUGAAGAAGGCAGAGAUUCUGAGGAUCAGUGACAGCUGCUCUAUGUAAGUUGAGAGGCUCAUUAUAAACAAUGACCCCAAAGUAACUUUUGCAGGGUGACAAACAUCCCAGACAAAGGAGUAACAGUGUCGGGAUUUUCUACCUUUGCCUUGUAGAGUCUUUGAAUCUCAGUGUCUCUUUUUAUGUCCUUAAAUCAAAAUGAGCCUUUCUCUCUUUACUAAGCAGCCCUUCCCAAAAUUGUCUGGGGAGGACUGCCUAGUAAAUGAUCAGUCACUGAAGUACUGACGACUUAAAGGAUUGGAAGUGGGGCAGAAAGCACUUGACAUAAGUUGAGUGCCUGGUAGAUACUGUAGAAGGACUUGCUGGUUGAUGAGCAACAUCUUUUGUUUUGAUUGAGGUUUAAAAGAAUCAAGGUACUAGAGACAGGAUUGCCUUUACCUGCAUUAAUAGGGUAGCUGCUAGCCACAUGUGCAUCUAGUCAGCCUCCUGAAAUGGCUGAGAAGAUGAGCUGAGUUCUUAGUUUUAUUUAAUUUUCAAAAUUCACACUAUCAGUUAUCGGAAUACUUAAAUAUGUUUGGAGAUAUAUUAGAUAUGUAUAUCCAAUUAAACUAAAUAUUAAGAAAUAUAAACACAGAUUAAGUACUUCUUGAAAAUUUAGCAUUGGAAUUGGGAAUUGGGCUGUAAAAAUAAAAUACACUCCAGAUUUCAAAGACUCAGUAACAACAACAACAAAAAAAGUAAAAUAGCUCAUUAAUAAUUUUUAUAUUGAUUACAUGUUUAGAUAAUGUUUUGGAUAUAUAAAGUUAAAUUUAAAUAAAGUUAAUUUCACCUACUGAUUUUUUUUUUUAGCCUUUUUAAAAGUGGCUUCCAGGAAACUUAAAAUUACAUAUGUAGCUUAUAUUAUGCUUUUUUAAAAAUAUAUAUUUUAAAAAAAAAAUAAAAAAAAAAUAAAAAUAAAAAUAAAAAUAUAUAUUUUUAUUCAACACAUAGCACUUGGACAUACAAUGUGAUAUUUCAAUAUGUGUAUACAGUGUGUUAUGUUAUACUUCUUUUGGACAACUCUGGUCUACAGUAUUAUUCCUUUUUGUCCAUGGUUUAAUUUCAAAAGAGGUGAUUGUGUGAAAUAUUACUUCAUAUUUGUCAGCCACCUACUUUCUACUGCUAUAUUCCAUGUAAAGAUUUGGGAAUUUCAAGAGAAUUAAAGUAUUACUGUAUGAGACCUCCUGGUUACUGCUUGGUAGAUUUCUUUUAGGAGCUGUAUCCUACUAAGGGAGGGCAAUAAAAAAUUUGAAGGUUCUCUAGAACCUGCUAACCCCUUUGGAGGGGCUAUCAGGGGUAUCAGUAGGAAAUUUUGAAUACCCAUAUACCUGGCCAUAGCUGCUUUUGUAAAAGGCUCCUGGGCAUAACAAAAUACAUCAGAAAACAGUUGUGACACCUGUUGGGGUUUUAAUGAUGCUACUCAUCCAUUACCUUCAUUUACUUUCUAUUUAAUUUUUUCCUUCAGUUACUUUCUGCCCCCCACAUCAGGGCUCUACCAGUAGUAAUUAGACUCACAGUGUAGCUGGCUACUUUCCUCCAAAAAACACAUGAAUGGCGAUAGUACUGUCUUUGGGGUUUUGUUUUGUCUAAUGAGAUUCAGUAAUGCACUGGAGGGGAUUUAAAGGCCUUUUGCUACUAUCCCCUCAUUUUAUAGAUGACAAAUGGUCAAGUACCUUGUAGGAUCGUACAGACUGGAAUUAAACAUGCUUUUGUUGAUAAUCUGAUUUAGAGGGUUCCUGAAAAAAAAAUGAAGAGGCUAAUCAAUUAGUCAAAUAUUUGUUGAGCUUGUACUUUGUGCAAAUGUCUGAGAGUGUUUGAAGGGACAUGAAGAAAACAGGUUCUGACUUUAGGAAGAGGGCUGUUGACUUCAGGAAGCAAGACAUAAACAGUGCCGAAGUGUACAGCACAGCACUUGGUAUGCGCAGUGCCCUGUGGUGUGUUACAAGUAUAAAUGUGUUUAUUUUACACAUGGAGGAGUAGAAGCUGUGAGAAUGGUGGAUUCUGCAGAAAAAUGGAGUGUAAUUGUGUUUCUGGAACGGCCUGCAGCUCUAGAAUUGGAGGUCAGCGGCAAGUCUUUAGUAUUGUCCCCUUUAGCUAUCCAUUAAGGGAAUCUGAAAACCUAAGAUCCAGCAUUUUUAAAUGGCAGUGCAAUCGUAAUGAGGACAUCAUAGUUUUUUAGGCACGAUUAAUGAGACUGUUUUGAGGUUAACUGGUGUAUUUUUGACCAGUUAUUCUAAAAGGGUACAAUACAACAACCAACAAUAAAAAAUUAAAAAAAUAAAAAAUAAAUAAAUAAAAUUCAAUUGGUAAAAAAAAAAAUAAAAGGGUACAAUACAGAGGUGAACUCAGAAUAAAACUGACUCGUGAGCAAACUGUAAAAUCCAAAGUCUGGGAGAUGGGGAGAGUGCAUACUAGAGCAACAUCAGAAGGCUAAAUAAACAUGGAGUAGACAGACUAAAAAACACUUAUGCUGAAUUUCAUGUAUGAAGUUUCGGAAAAGGCCCAUAAAAUAGAAUAUAUGAACUAGUUCAUUUAUUUGUAAAUUUUUAGUCCCCUGGAUCCCUCUGGACCAAAAUCCCAGUCAGCAUAAGAGAAGAAAGGUCAUUUCUCUCUGUGUGUUACUGCAACAGUGUUUUUGUCCAUAUGGCUGCUAAGGUUUAUAGCCUGAGACUGUUUAGAGGCCAACGUAUGAAGCAGGUAAAACAGUGACACCAUUCUGUAAUCACUCCUAGUUAAUGCUCCUCUUGAAGAUUGGACGUGACUUUGCACAGGGCAGUGAUCUUUGACUUUUCCUUGCUACUUUAACCAAUUUCAUUCUCCUUAAACUAGAAAACAAUCUGAGCCAGGCAUGGUGGCCUGUAAUCCCAGUGGCUAGGGAAGCUAAGGCAGGAGGAUCGCAAGUCCAAAGCAAACCUCAGCAAUUUAGCAAAGCUAAGCAACUUAGACCCUGUAUCUAAAAAAAAAAAAAAAAAAAAAAAAAAUCUGUAACCUCUUCGUUCUAGGUUUCCCACAAAUUUUUGGCACAAAUUUAAAAUAAACUAUUAUAUAGCAAAGUUUGCAGUAAAAUGCAGGUGUACAUGCUGUAUACUUCUGACAAAGCAGAGGUUGACCUUUGUUUUGUUUUUAUUUUGUAUAACCGGGAGAUGGAAUCCAGGAUUCCAUCUCUUAACUCCUGAGCCGUCUUCCCAGGCCUUUUAUAUUUUAUUUUGAGACAGUGUCUCCUGAGUUGUUUAGUGCCUCACUAAAUUUCUGAAGCUGGUCUCAGAUGUGCAAUCCUCCUGCCUCAGCCUUCUGAACUGCUGGGAUUACAGGCGUGCACCACCUUACCUGACCGAGAAGUUAACAUUUGAGCAUCUUUUGCUUACAGUACAUUUUUACAGCAUCACAGUGUGGUCACAUUUGUACAUUUAUGAUUUGUCAUUAAAUUGGGUUAUGGUUUUCAAAUGGGGGGGAAAAAUCUCCCUUUAGUUAAAAGAACAGUGGAUUUAAAUAGCUAUAGUUUUAAAAUACUUUGACAUUCCAGCAACUUGUUUCACAGUAUUUCUAAUUAUUGACUAUAUAAUUGAUGUUUAAAGGUUUAGAAUCAUAUGUUCAUUUUCAGUUUGUCUAAGAAUGUCAUGUGUGUUUUGAAUAUACAUUUGUAUUCCACCAAAGAAGCAAGUUCUUUGGUAUUAUCAAUGGUACAGAAGUACUUGCUUUUCAAGCUAGUAUUUGGGGCAUGCAUCAUGAAGAAAUGGCUCUAUUUUAUCAUUUUUCUUAGAAGAUCUGCAUUUAAAAUCAGUUUGUUCUUUGGAGGAAAGUAUUUGGCAUCACUGCUUUCUCCUCCCCUUACUUUACAGGGUGCUUUCUUACUAUAGCCUGAGUACCUGUGGCAACUUGUUUUUAAUGAAAAAAUUUCUUAUAAAAAAGUAUAUAGAAAAAGAAAUGUUUCUGUUAGGUUUUGUUUUUCAAAAAUGUACAUUUACAAAGAGUAAUGUCCCAGAAGAAACAAAACUACACUUUUGAAGCAUUUAUUAUUAUUUAAAAAUAUUUGGGAAAUAUAUUUUUAUUCCUCUGAAGCUGCUUUUGAAUUAGUCUAAGGGAACGUAAAUUUAAGUAUUAACAGAAUAAUGACAGUUUGCUUCUUAUCAUUAUCAAUGCUUGGCCUUUUUUUUUUUUUACCAAUUUUUUUUUGGAGGGGCUAUCAGGGGUAUCAGUAGGAAAAAAUGAGAGGAAAAAAUAGUUUAAAAAAGGAAAUAUCUUUUAUUUUACCAAAAAUGUUCAGUAGUUGUGUGAUUUAGGGCAAUGGCUUAAUGGAGCGAAUUUCAGCUUUUCAGCUUAUUACACAUUCAGUUCACCUUUUGUCUUUCGUAUUUAGAAAUCCACUUGCACUAAUACUCAAUCUCAGCAAAGCGCUGUCUCACAGCUAGUAAGUAUCUCAAGGGUAUUUGUUUCCAUACUUCUCCAGCAUCCAGUAUUUCAGGGUAAGUGGGUACUGUGUCUUUUAUAAAGCCGACAGAAUUUAUGGUCAGGAAACGUUAGGUGAUAAUCUUUUUAUCCUUCUUGAUGAAUCAAAAACUAAAAUUUCAUUCUAACAGUUGCAGUGUCUUGGUUCACCUAACAGAUGUUUAUAAUUUGGGUGAAAAUACACAGCGAUUUCCAGGAACCUUACUUAGGUUGUGAGAUCUAGCCUGUCGUGGUGUUUUUUUAAAUCUUCAUUGCCCUCUCGUGUUUCAACUCUGCAUUACAUCAGUUGGCUGCGACCUAGAUGAUGACCUCCUUAACAUUUAGAUAUUUUUGCACUUUAGAGAAUAUUGUUUUUAAUUUGUGUGGAGGUGGAUUAUUUUAUUCGAUAUCACUUUUGUGAAGAUCAGGUCAAUUUCAUCGUACAUACAGUUAAUAGUUGAACUAGAUUGACUGUACUCUUUUCUGACUUCUGCUGAACUGCAGAACUGAUUCAUCUAUCUGACUUAUUUGAAGUACAGUGCUAAUAUCUAAUUUGCAUAUAAUGAGUCUUUGAAAUUGAGCAAAUGUCUAAUUGAAAACAUAAUUAUUUUUCAAAUAUCUGUCAAGUUCCACUCAUACUGAAAUAACUUGAGACCUUAUGACUGACGUGGAAAAACCCUGGGUGAAUCAUGGUUUUAAUAAGUUGGUAUUCUGACUCUUGGAUUCCAAUUUCAGAGUCUUUUUGUACCUUUUAUCAAAAGUAAGAAUCAUCAUUGAAAUUAUUUCAGGGUAUAAGUCAAAGAUACAGAUAAUUUCAAAGAUAGUAUGUUGAUUUGGGAGGGGGGGUACCCGGGAUUGAACUCAGGGGCACUUAACCACUGAGCUACAUUCCCAGCACUAUUUUGUAGCUUUUUUUUAGAGACAGGGUCUCACUGAGUUGCUUAGUGCCUCGCCAUUACUGAGGCUGGCUUUGAACUUGUGAUUCUCCUGCCUCAGCCUCCUGAAUCAUUGGGAUUAUAGGCAUGUGCCACUGUGCCCGGCAUGUAUGUUGAUUUUUCAAAAAGGCAUUCCAGGGGCUGGUGUUGUAGCUCAGUGGUAAAGCAUUUUUUAUAAAAACUUUUUUUAUAAAAUUUUUUAAAAUAAGGGGAAAAAGGCAUUCCAAAGACUGUCCACUUAUUCUUGUACCCCUAUAACUGUAUAAUUGCAUAAACUAUAGUGAAAAACAUCCCCAGGUGUGCUAAAUACUAUCUACCAAUGUCAUCAACUUGAGUAUGUUCCUAGCUAUGAAAGGAGGAUCUUGCUUUUUUUUUGAGACAGGAUCUCACUAGGUUGCUUAUAGCCUUGCUGAGGCUGGCUUUGAGCCUGCAGUCCUCCUGCCUCAGCCUCCCAAUCUGCUGGGAUUAACAGGCAUGCUUCACAUGCCAGGCUUGAAUUUCUUCUUAAAUCAUAAAACUGCGGGGCUGGGGAUGUGGCUCAAGCGGUAGCGCGCUCGCCUGGCAUGCGUGCGGCCCGGGUUCGAUCCUCAGCACCACAUACAGACAAAGAUGUUGUGCCCGCCAAUAACUAAAAAAUAAAUAAAUAAAUAUUUUAAAAAUUCUCUCUUUUAAAAAAUAAAAAUAAAACUGCACUAGUUCCUGCUUCAUGACUUGAGUUAAUGAGAACUAAUACUCAUCAGCAGAAAGUAGACAUUUUCAGAAAUCCUUAUGUUUGGAUAAAUGGUAUAAACUGAACAUCCUGUUGGUUGAGUAGGAGAGCUAGGGUGGAUGAGAGACAAAAGCAAAGAGUUCCAUCUUUGACCAUGGAUUUGGGCCUACUAUGGUUUGCCAUAAUUUUAGUCAUUUUUGUAUCUGUGAAAAGGGCGGUAAUGAUAUCUUAGCUAUUUCCAUAAUCCUUUUUGGAUGAGUUAAUGAAUAAUUCAUUGUUAACCCUGUAGGGUUCUUGUGGAAGUCAAAUGAGAAAACAGAAGUUUUAUUGAGUGUUAGGAAGAUAUAAAGCAUUAUUGCCAUGUUUAGGAGCAAGAACCAUGUUUCAUUUAUCUACCUAAACAUCCUGAAGAGGUCUUGGAAAAUAAUAGUGCAUCAGUAAAUAUUUAUGGCAUGACUGAAGUCAGGGAGCUGGAGUCUUGAGUACAUGCAUGGAGGAGACGUCACUGGGAAGCUUACUGCUUACUUGAUGUGUUAUCAUUGUGAAAGCCUAAUCACAUGGUUGUUCAUCCUCAUUAAUAUGUAUAAAUCACAUGUUCACCUCUCAUUCUAAUGUAAUUCAACUGGGCCUUUUAAUAUUUCAGCCUCACCACUGUUGGACUCCAACCCCCACCUCACGUCUUCAACCAGAAGGGGAUCUUUUAAUCCUUCACUUCGUGGGGAGUCUUUGAGGGAGUAAUGCAGCUGCCCAGCAAGAACACUGCUGACCAGUACAGUGACUGACAGGCUGCCCUGGCUCAGUUAUCACAGUGCUGAUGCUGUCCAUUCUAAAGGUACAGUACUGUGAUAACUGAAGGAUGGCAGCCAUCUUGCCUUCCACCCGAGGAGCCUCCUCGUGCUCAGGAAGAAAGACAGAUGGUGAAAGAAGAGUGGGAUGCACCAUUCCUUCAUUUGUUUCUCCUGAGCUAUAGAGAAGGUUACCCCAUCUCUCUGCUUUGUUUCAUAAUACGAAAGGAAAACCACGAUGUGGUAGUUUGCAUGGCAGCACAGAUAUUGUGGUGCUGAGCAAAACGUGUAUAAGAUUUUUGGAACCUUUGAAUCUUCAGGAGAUUUUGAUAUUAGGAAAUACUAAAUAUGAAUUAUAUUUUCUCGAGUGGUAUUCAGAGAAAUUUGUGCCAUUUUAUAAUUGUGAAGGGUAACCUGAUUAGGAUAGGCUGACACUUGGCACUACACUAUUAAAUGUUCAAAAUGAAAUUUGUCCUAGGCAGAAGGAAAGCUCUACAUGUCGAACCGUAUUGAUAAUUACUGCAUGAGUAAAAUUCAUCGUUGUGUUUAAGGAAUGGAUGGCAGGCUGUCAUGUUCCUUUCAAGAUGUUUAGAAUCUCCUCUGAGAAAACAUUCAUUGAAUGACAAUAUUGCAAUAUUUUAUCAAAAAAUAUUGCAAUAUUUUUAGAUAAAAAUAAAAUAUAAAUUAUUUUAUUUCCAUCAGGUGAACAAGGACUACUCUACUGCAAUACCUGACACACAUUGAUUUCAGGGAUAUGAAACUAUACAUACCAAGUCAGUAUAUUUGUAGGAAGGCCUAGGAAAUUUAGCAAACCAGGCAUCUUUAACCUGCAUCCUAGUCUAGAGAAUACUUCUGGGGGUAGAGGGUGGGGUUGUUAGAAAAUCUCCAUUCUCACAUUCCUUCUGCCAGUGAUCCCUCUUUCUACAGACUCCUAAAAGCACUCUACAUAUGAAAUACCAAUGAAUGCAUAUCAAAGUACAUGACUUUAUGUUGGAUCACAGUCCACUGCAUGUAAUUUCAUGUAACAUAUUUUAGGCUCAAGCCUGAGCAGGAACCUAUUGCCUCUUCUAGGCUGGUGUCUAUCUAGUAGGAGUCUUAGCACCCUGUAGAUGGCUGGCUGAUCUGUGAAAGAACCUAGAGCACUGAGCUUGAGUACUGAGGCAGGGCCUGCUGAGGACAGGCCCUAUUUGAAACUACCUAUACCUGGGACGCAAGAGCAUACAUGUGACUGUAAUAUACAGUGGACCUUUACCCACUAGUUGAGACCACCUCUUCAGUGUCUCAGAUACUGGCAGUUUUAUUAUCAAGUCCUUCACUGGAAUGGUCUGAGGACGAAAGGGGAUCUGUAGGGAGCAAUCCCUGUUGUCCAUUGUUCUAGUCUUCACCAUCCUGGUCACUGUUCCUCUUUAGGUUCACAGUUCUCUAACCUCUCUCCUUUCUACUCAAAUAGCAGCCUUUCCUGGUGGUGACCCCUUGAGCCAUAACUGCUUGGCUCUGAACUGUUGUACAAACACUCUGAGCACAUUGGAGCAUCCAGUACCUUCACAUAACCUCUCAAAACUUUUUUUUUUUUGGUAGCAGGGCUUUAACCAAGGGGUUCCUAACCACUGAGCCCAUCUCCAGCCCUUUAUAUUUCAAGUUGGGGCCUUGCUAAGUUGCUGAAGCUGGACUUGAACUUGUGAUCCUCAUGCUUCUGCUUCUGAGUCACUAGGAUUAUAGGCAUGCAUCACCAUGCCCACUUCAAAACUUCUUUAAGCCAUAAACUCAGCUAUGUUUUUAUUAAUAGAGGGGUGUAGCACCCACCUGUAAUCCCAAGUACUUGGGAGGCUGAGACAAGAGAGGAUCACAAGUUCUAGGCCAGCCUGGGUGACUUAGGGAAACCCUAUCUUUAAUUAAAAAAAAAAAAGUGGGGGAUGUAGCUUGCCUAGUGUGCACAAGGCCUGGGUAUUCAAUUCCCAUUACCCCCCUCAACACACACACACACACACACGGUUCUGCCCAGUUGUGUAUUACACUGCUGCUCCUAAAAUUCCUUAAGAGUUUUCUCUCUCAAACAGAGAAGGAAUUUAUGACAGAAGGUCUGGAAGAACUCCUAGGAAGAGAAUUCGGGGACUGGUGAAUUCUCAAGUAAUUUAAAACUCUCCUGAUUUUUAGUGUUUUAGCAGGUGGAAAAAGUGCUUCAGGGACUAAUGUGUUGUGCAGUUGUUGGCCUUAGUGGGAAUUUCACCACCUUCCCUGGUCUUCCUGUUUUCUCUGUGACUAGUUUUAUAAAAAUUCGUCUGAUUUUAUACUUGCUUAACCUUGACCUCAGCAUCCACACCCACAUCUUUUGGAAGUUGCAGAGCUGAGUGUGGAUGUAGUUUGGAAUUGCUGCUAUACUUCUACAAACGGAGCUGUGCCGGCUUCCAUUUCUGGUCCACAAGCUUGCCUAGGCCUAGAGGUCUUCCACAUCUCUAAGGCAGUUGGUAGGUGUUAAGAUGUCAGGUUUUUAUCAUGCUGAGUGAGAAGUGCUGCAAGAGAAAGCAGAUAGGGUUAUUUCACUGCCUUUUUGGUUUCGUGUUUGAUUGAUGUAUUGUGUUCUAGUCUAGGCACAUUGAGAUUGGGAAGAGUGGAUGUUAACACCAUGAUACCCCCAAAAAGGGAAGAGGUACUAUAUAAUGGGUAUGUUUACACACACAUUCAUAGCAGCAUUAUUCACAGUAGUCAAAAAAUAGCAAUCCAGGUGUCCCUUGAUUGAAUGGAUAAAUAAAAUGGGUGCACACAUACAUUGGAAUAUCAUCCAGCCUUAAAAAGGAAGAAAGUUCUGAUACACACAACAACAUAGAUGAACCACGAAGAUAUUAAGUAAAAUGAGCCAGACAAAAGGACAAAUACCAUAUGACUCUACUCAGAAGAGGUUCCUAGGAUAUUCAUAUUCAUAGGGCCAGAAAAUAGAAUGACUGUUGCCAGGGACAGGAGGGAGAAGAGGACUGAGAGUUAGUGCUUAAUGAAUACAGAGAUUUAUUUGGGAUGAAUGUUGAAAAAUUUCUGGAGAUGGAUGUUGAUGGUUAUAUAACAAUAUGAAUGUGCUUAAUGCCUCAGAAUCGUUCACGUAAAAAACAGAUUUAAUGUUAUAUAUAUUAUUUAAUAUUAUGUAUUUUUACAAUAAAAAUUUAAUAACACUUUUGGGUCCAACAAAAUUUCGUUCAUUUUUUUACUCUUAAGUGGUUUUUGUGUGACAGUAACUGCUCUUUCAAGUAAGCAAUUAAAAUGUAAUUGCUAUGUUCUUAUGCAUUUAAACUUCUCUAAUCUGUAAGAUCUUAGACAUUUCCAGGGUUUCUGUCAAUGUAGCUUUAAAAUUUGGUGAAACAUAAAACUAAAUACAAUAACCAUGAAAGUACUAACUAAAAAUAAGAACAAGAAAAAGGUCUGGCUGAGAAGUAGCUUACCCGGUAUUGAUGGCCUUAUGCCUUUUCUGGUGAAACUGGGCAACCUACCAGCCCACCUCUUUGGAGUUGUAGUAAAGAUGUAGUUGUAUACUUAUUUAUCUAUAUGCACAAAACAGCAACUAAAUGUGACGUGAUUUCUUAAAAUAUAAACAUGCAAUGUCUGAGACAAAACAGUACCUUUAGUAGUUUUAAGUAAAACAGUUUUAAUUCUCUAAAUUCUUAUUUCAUAUGCCUGUUAUAGCAGCAUUUAAAUAUAGAUUUCUCGUAUGUGCAUUUUUUAAAAUAGAUUCACAAUAUGAAAUGUUGAUGAACAUUGCAAAUUAUAACAAUCAGAAUUCUUGUAAAAGAAUUGAAAGUCAAGAAUUAUUGUUAAAUUUCUAGAGCAAAUACAAACCAAGAAUAAAGGAUAUGUGUGAUGUUAAUCUUUAAAAUAGGUUUUCCCCAAUUUUUUUUUUUUUUUAAUACUAGGGAUUUAACCCAGGAUUGCUUAACCAUUGAGCCACAUUCCCAGCCCUUUUUAUUGUUUAUUUUGAGACAGGGUCUCACUAAGUUGUUCAAGGCCUUGCUGAAGUGCUGAGGUUGGCUUUGUAUUUGGCAAUCCUCCUGUCUCAGACUCUUGAGUCACUGGGAUUACAGGCAUGUGCCACUGUGCCUGGCCUCAUCUCUUAAUUUUUCUGCUCCCCUCCUACCUAAAUCUUCAGGAAAUAUUCAUUAUGUAUGUAAGUGUAGAAUUCUUAGAAACUAAUCACAUAAUGAGGAAACUGAUUUUAUUUACAGCUAAAUCUAUGCAACCUGGAGGUCAUUGAAAAAGUAAUUUCAUAUCCAACAAAGGAAGCCAAAGCUCUGUUUGGCUGGGGUUGUGAUGUCAAAUACACAAUUGUGUGGUAAAUCUAUGUUCCAACUAAAGGCUGAAGUACAGCAUGUUCGUAGAGAGGUCUGGACCAUUCAAUUAAUGUAAUGGUACAGUACCAAAAAAUGGAACAGUAUUUUCAAGGUCGUUCAGAUGGGCUCUUCGUACAUGUUCCAUUCUCAUCUGGUUGAAGAUACUUAUUGGCAUUCUUCCCCUUGCCAAAGCUAGCACAAUCUUCAGGAUUGGCAAAAACCUUUUUUGUUAGUCUAAAGAGUGAAGUUGCAGUACUCAAACAUCAUUUUUGAAAGAAUAUUUGUUGUAUAGGAGGCAAAAAGCCAUGAAUGCUUCAUUUUCUAUUAACUGGUGAGAUCAGCCAUUUUUUUAGUUUUGCUAUGGAAUGGUGAAUCCAAGGAGGACAACAUCAGCAAAGCUGUUCAGGAGGUAAGUCAUACAGGUACUAAGUAGUCAGUUUUAAGAAACAUCUGAUCAGUCUUGGAACAUCUGAGCAGUCUAUAGCUUGCUGUCUUGUCAAUGGCUUUCCUAUUAUGUUUACAUUUGAAAACGAGAAUAUUCUGUAUAGACUAGAAAUAGUAAUAAUGUCCUGUAAAAGAUCACAUGCUUAUUGACCAUGAGUGAGAAGCAUUCAUCUGUGGACCAAAUCUGUGCUGCACAAAACUUUGACUUGGAGUUAAUGCUUUGGAAAUCAGAUUUUAGCAGUGGGAACGUUAAACUGCCCCCAUCAGAUCCUGUGGAGUGUUCUAUCUUGAUCAUACAAUGCAGAGGAACACUCUUGUUUCUGCUGCACUGAUUAUGUUUUAUUAUGCCUCAUACAUUUUUAGCUUCUCAAAGAAGCCAACCAAUUAUAACUAUGACAAAUUAUCUAUACCAUUUUAAAUGGAUUGAUUUCUUUUCUGAAGCAUGCAUUCUUACAGCUGCCAUUUAUGUUUACACUAUCUACCCUCUUCAAUCAUAUUAACCAUUACCAAUCAAGUUCAUCUCUUACUUACUUCCUGAAUUAUUAUUGUUAUUUGGUACUGGGCAUUGAACCCAAGGGCAGUCUACCACUGAGCUACAUCCCGGCUCCUUUUGAAAAUUUUGAGCUGAUCUUAUUAAUUUGCCAAGACUGGCCUGGAGCUUGAGAUCCUCCUACUUUAGAUACCUGAAUCACUGGGAAUACAGGUGUUUGCCACCAUGCCUGGAAUGAAUUCUUCAUUAAAAUAAAUCAGGGCAAGAAAGACAACAGAAGCCCACCCACAUUGUGGGUUUUCCCCCCAUAUCUAAUACAUGAUGAUUCUCUACAGCAUUCUCAUUAAAAAGAAUGCCAAGUUCUUUAAGAAUGUGUGCCUGGGCUGAGGAUAUAACUCAGUUGGUGCCUCACAUGCACAAAGCCCUGGGUUCAAUCUGCCCUUGCAGAGUGAGGCACUGGCUUCCAUCCUCAACACCACAUAAAAAUAAAGGUAUCCGUCUACAACUAAAAAACAAAUAAACAGAAAAAGGUGCCUGAAACAUUUUCAGCUGGGUUCUUUAAAUUGCUUCAAAGUGUUUUGGGUAUGUAAUACCCCAAACUUAAUUAAAAUACAAAAAAGAUUCACAUAAUUGAAAUGGGAUAAAGUAAGCUGAUUACAUCUUGGUUAAUGCAUUUGGACUAUUACUUUUAUUUUCCAAGAGAUUAUGAGAUAUGUGAUGCUAAAGAGCAGGAAAUUGUCAGAUGUGGCCUACACCUGUAACACCAACUACUUGGAAGGCUGAGACAGGAGGAUUCCUUGAGCCCCAGGAGACCAAGGCCAACCUGGGCAACACAGCAAGACUGUAUGGAGGGGGAGGGGGAUAUGGUGGGGAAAAGGAUACAACUGUCCCAAAUUAGCUAGUGGAAAAUUCAUUUUCAUUUUCUGCUAGUAUCUUCGAAAACAAAAUUACAAAGGAAUUAUUUUAACUCCCAUUGCUUGAGGUAGGGGUGUGUGUGUUUUCCCACUUUGAAAUUAGUAUCUUCAGGAAUAUCUCAAAUUCAGCUGCAGAUAGCUGCUUAGAGUACUUUGCUGAGAUUUUCAAGGCCACAUCUAGGGUCUGCAGGAAGGAGAGUUGCAACCACCUAUCUACAUCUUCCUGGGAUCAACUAGCAGUGUCUCUAUGGACAGCAAACCUAGGAGAGGAGAGGAUCCAGGCUAUGUUUGCUGACCCCUUUCUUCAUAAUACAGCAGUAUUUUAUUUAUUUAUUUAUUUGCUUGUAUAUGUAUGUGUGUAUGUGCACACAUGUAUGUGGUUCUGGGAAUUGAAUCCAGGGCCUCUUACAUGCUAAGCAAGUGCUCUACCACUCAGCUACAUGUGUAACCCCAGCAGUGUUUUGUUUUUAGUUGUAGAUGGACACAAUACUUUAUUUGUUUAUUUAGUUUUAUGUGGUGCGGGGGAUUGAACCCAGAGCCUCACAUAUGCUAGGCAAGCGCUCUACCACUGAGCUACAACCCCAGUUUAUUUUGUCUCAUGGUUUUAGAGGUUCAGUCCAUGGUCAGUUGACUCCAUAGCUCUGGGCCCACAGUGAGGCAGUGGCCCAAGGGCAUGGUGGAGGAAAGCAGUUCAGGACAUGACAGUCAGGAAGCAGAAGCUUUGCUCACCAGGGACAAAAUAUAAACCCCCAAAGGCAUGCCCCCAGUGACCCAUUUCCUCCACUCACACUUUACCUGCCUAUAGUUACUACCCAAUUAAUCCACAUCAGUUUAGGUUAAGGGAUUUAUAGUAAUCAUCUCCUCUGAACAUCUUGCUAUCUCACACAUGAGCUUUUCAGGGAUACCACAUAUUCAACCCAUAAAACUGAGGUUUAGGUCUGGUGGGAAGGCAAUGAGAAACUGAUGUGACUCCAUUUUUGAGAAACCAGCUUCUACCUCAAGGCCUGUCCAGAGGGAGGGGGCGUGACCUUUGUCCUAGGAAAAACCCACAGAGCUCUCCUAGGCACAUACCCACCCUGCUGAGUUAUUUAACUGGAGAGAUCUGCAGCACCAGGUGACCCUGACUCAGUUACCCUAGUUGAGGACCCACAGCAACCCCCUAGCAACCACCAAUCAGCAUGAGACAGGGAAAAUAUCUGAAAUGCCAGGUGACCCCCCCAGUAGUUUCGGUGAUUGGUAACAUGAUUAGGCAACCCUGCAAGUUUAGCAUACACACUCUUGCAACCCCUCGUGGCUUAAACCAAUCAGUUCAAAUGUAUCCACCUCUAGAACUAACCAAUCACCCUUACCCAACUUGUUCCUACCAGUGAAUGUGCUAAUCAAUAUUAAGAGUUGUUUAAUUUUCCUGCGGUAUGAAAUGAUUUGCUGUGUGAUGUUGUGAUGCGUAGAGUUUCCCCCAAAACCUAUAAUCCUCACUGAACUGAGGGCCAGGACCCACUCCUAGGGACUGCUGCAUCCAAAACAGUUGUGAAUCUAGGCUUGGGCUUGCAAUAAAGACUCUUGUGUGAUUGCAUCAGAUUCGGCUCCUUGGUGUCUAUUGGGGUCCCACGAAUAUGGCAUUACAGCAAAAAUUCUCAAAGAUAUAUUAAUAAAGACAAGAUUUCCAGAAAGCUAUGCCUUCUAUUGAAAGACCUAAGAAAUCUCAUUCUACUUGGGACCUCAUUUUGCUCUGAAACUUAACCUCUGACCUACUGUAGUCCUAAAGUCAGGAAAAUACUACAGAAAAGCUCUAUGGAAACAGUUCUCGGAAAAGCCGAAGAUGGUGAUCACCUAAGAUAGGCCAAGAUAUCUACAUAUCUGAAAUUCCAGAUGGCCCCCACCUAGGUGUGAUGACCAAUAUCUAAACUAGAAGCCCUGCAGUUUGGCAUGUACCCCCCUUGCACCCCCCUUGCGACAUCCUCACGAUUUAAACCAAUCAAUUUUAAGUGCGUCAACCCCUUGAACUAACCAAUAAUUCUUUCCAGAUUCUUUCCCGCCACUUGAUACACUAAUCAUGUUUUAGAGUUGUUAUUUGAAUUUCCCCCGGUGUGUGGUGAUUUGCUAAGAGAUGCUAUGAUGUAUGUGGGGGUCCCUGCCUUCUCCAAAGAAUGUAUAAAACUACUGCAAAAUCUGGGCUCAGGCCUCUUAGCGUCACCUGUUGCUGUGUGCGAGGAGGACCGAGCUAGCUCGCAAUAAACACCUCUUUGCUGCUUA